CAUCAGAUGACAGAAAGUAAGUAAUGGCCUCUUAAACAAAAAAUAGUAAAUUAACAUCUACUUCUGGUAA
rnacentral:tRNA from 1 species